rnacentral:RNase_P_RNA from 1 species
UAAGAGGGGAGAAGUGGUCGCCCUGAAGAUUUCAGGGAGGAAAGUCCGGACACCUUCAGGCAGGAUGCCUCAGGAGGUUUUUACCAACUGAGGGGGCUUACCCGAAAUGGUAAGUCACGGAAAGUGCCACAGAAAAUAUACCGCCCUUUCAAACCCAAGAAAAUCUGGCGAUUUUCUUGGGAACCCCGAAAAAAUUAAUUUUUAAAGGGGUCCCUAAAAAGUCGUAAGACUUUUUGGGGUAAAAGGGGUAAGGGUGAAAAGGUGAGGUAAGAGCUCACCGCUUGAGUGGUAACACUCAAGGCAGGGCAAACCCCAUCCGGUGCAAGACCAAGCAGGGGAUGGCUUUAAGCGGAGUUUGCCUGAACUCCUGGUUUAUACCACAUCCCCGGGUAGGUCGCAUUAGAGCAAUGACCACAUGGGUUUAUCCCAACAGAAUCCGGCUUACUCCCCUCUUUUUAC